rnacentral:lncRNA from 1 species
CUUGCAACCAGAAGGAAAAAAUAGCAUGUCAAAUUAGUGGUUUAACCCACUGAGUCAUGAAGGUAACCUAAUCCAACAUGAAAAUAAGGCAUCCUAGUUCUUUUAAAGACAUGGUACUAAGCAGCAACAACCUGCUCAUUUAAGCGACUGAAAAAGUAUCAGAUUUGUCUGAGUACAUGUGUCAAUCUCACUCCUCCCCUGUAGACAAAAGGAAGAAUACAUAUCAUCAAGAUUAUAUCAUAAUGUUUUUUGAAGUUUCUCCCAAUAAGACAUCUAGAUCUAGUAAGAAGAGACAUGAUAUUAUAAACUAUCCAAAGAUAGUCUGUGUACUGUCUUAACAAUCUGGAUUCAGUGCGCAAGAUGGUUCAGAACCAAUAUAAAUAAUAGGAGCUAUCCGCAUCUCAUGCAACUUUGCUAUGAGAUUAUCAAAAAAAAAAUUAACUACAAAGAACUACAUCAAUACACAAAAUGUAGCCACCUCUGUAUAUUUUUUAAGACGCAUCGAUUCUAGAGAUAGAGAGCUCUCUUCUUAAGACAUUAGGUACACAAGACUGAAAGAAACAAAGAAAGAUGAAUAAAUUACAAAGAAAGAUUACUUUUUAUCCAGAAUGAUGUCCAAAAUUAUUAAAAUGAUUGUGAUAUCUUAACGAAUCUAGAGUUAUAAAAUAAGAACACAACCCCCUAGAUGUUCUAAACAUGUAUAUGACGCACAUGAUGUUUCUAUUACCAGAAAGGUACUUUAAAAUAUACCAAGUGCAUCUGGCGGGCAUUAAGACAGCUUGAUUCUCUAACAAUAAUUACAAGAGGCUGCAACAACAACAACAACCCAGUAUAAUCUCAUUAGUGGGGUCUGGGGAGGGUAGUGUGUACGCAGACCUUACCCCUACCCUAGGGUAGAGAGGCUGUUUCCAAUAGAAACUCGGCAUCCUUCCGUCAAAAAACUCCCACCUUGCUCUUGGGGUGACUCGAACUCACACCCUCUUGGUUGGAAGUGGAGGGCGCUUACCAUCAGAGCAACCCUGACUCGAACUCACAAGAGGCUGCAAAUUAUGAGCAAAACAAAUUGGCAUUAUUGUCACUAAAGCAGAUAAUCCCAAAUCUGAACCAGCUACAUAAAGACAAUUGCUUUUCAAAAUUGGAACCUUAGCAAUAGAAAUUUUAAAAUGCAAUCUAGACUAAUGAAAGCUUUAGAACAAUUAAUGAUGCAGCAACUAUUGGCUUCAUGUGCAAUGACAUUAUCUUGCCUCACACUCAAUCCGUGGAUGCUAUAGGAGUUCCUUUUAAAUCCUUGUCAAUAAGAAUUCAGUUAACAAAUUAUCUAAACCAAGAUAGUUUUGUGCUCAUCUUAGAGAGAAAUUAUCUAUUUAAACCACAAGUAGGUUACCAAUAGGAAUUCAGUAAACCAAUGGAAACUUAAGCCUCAGCACUAAAAUACCAUUUCUCUUACUCGUUUUCACAUUUUCUGAGAUUUUCCGUAGCAUAAUAUUAACACCAAUAAAAAUGUCAUUAAUUCAUUGAUUAAUUGAACAUGAUACAUAUCUAAAGCCUCAAAGAUUGAUUGCACGACUCUAAUCAACAGAGUCAUUAUAGAUGAUAUUUUCCACAAUUUUCUACUUCUAAUUAGAGAGAAAUUUUAGAGUCUAUCCACCGUUGAAACAAAGUGGAGCUAGUUAAACAUGAUAAAAUACUACAGAUCUUUGACUAAAAUUUCAAAUUGCAUAAUGGAAUUAACUACCAGACCUUCAUUUUUCAUAGAUCCAUAAUUUCAUUAAAAAAGUUCCAAAUUUUAUAAAAUAACACUCUUUCUGUCAAGAAACAAGCCUUUUUUUUCAUUCUUUGAUUUUGAACACUGUUGGCAUAGCUUAUAUCAUAUACAAAUACAUAAAUAGAAAAAGACUGACCUGAAUGUUGAGGAACCUAUUGUACCUGAGCAGAGACCAAAAGACUAGAGAGUGAUUGAAUACUUACGUAAGAUUAAAGACCCCAAAAAGUUAAAAAAUGACAGAAAAACUCAAAUAACUCAUCUGUAGCAAAGCAAAACACGGAUAAGUAGAAUUCACCAUCACUUCAACUUACUGAACAACAAGACUUCAACGCUUGAUUUGUAUGCUUCGGUUAUUCCGUUGCCAAAAGCUCGUAAUAAAGGCCACACAAAUAAAAGCGUGCCUACAAAUACCUCUAGCAACUCUU